AUACGUAGGGUGCGAGCGUUGUCCGGAAUGAUUGGGCGUAAAGGGCGCGUAGGCGGCUUUGCAAGUCAGUAGUGGAAGUCCAUUUUUCAAGGAUGGAAGUGCUACAGAAACUGCGGAGCUUGAGUGCAGGAGAGGUUAUCGGAAUUCCCGGUGUAGCGGUGACAUGCGUAGAGAUCGGGAGGAACACCAGUGGCGAAGGCGGGUAACUGGACUGCAACUGACGCUGAGGCGCGAAAGUGUGGGGAGCAAACAGGAUUAGAUACCCUGGUAGUCCACACUGUAAACGAUGAAUGCUAGGUGUAGGAGGUAUCGACCCCUUCUGUGCCGCAGUAAACACAGUAAGCAUUCCGCCUGGGGAGUACGGUCGCAAGAUUAAAACUCAAAUGAAUUGACGGGG
rnacentral:rRNA from 1 species